CGUUGCAAAGUUGAGGGAUUAAAAUCCCUCAACCCCUGCGCACUCACCGACUCCGACCUCCGCCGCCAUGCGAUCCUCUUCUACAAAAACUCCUACUCCAAGGUCUCACCUUUUCUUCGCUCCAGCCACUUAUCCUCCGUUGUCUGCCGCUCCAGCAAGUGGGCCGAUCGUCUCCUCGGCGACUUCCAUUUCUCCGCCUCCACCGCCACCGACAACUCCUCCCCCCUCCUCCCCUGCCGACCCUUCUAUUCUCUCGCUAUUAUCCCUGCCCCCUCUUCCCUUCGCUGAUCGCUCAUUUGCCCUCCCCAUCGACUUCUACCAAGUACACGACGGUCAACGACACCGUCACCUACUUCAAAAUGCUUUUAGGUCCAUCUAUUUGGGUUUUAGGUCCUUGGUGCUGAAACCCAUCUCUUAACCGAUGGCAUUCGGCGAGCCUUCGAAGCUAGGGUUUCCAAACCCCCUCUCUAUGGAUACGAUCAAGAAGCACUCAACGGCCGUCGCCAGAUCCUCCAGGCUCCUUAUGGCACCCUUUCCGACCCCAGCUCCCGUGGGGACUACAACCUUGGCCUCGUGCAGGACCCUGAUUCCACUAUCAUAGCCUACGUCCCCUGGGAUAAGAAGUUGGAGGGAAUUCUUGUGCCCAAAGGUGUCCUUCAGGAAAAGACAAUGGUUACUCUAGUCUAUUCCUUGCUUAGUCUUCUGGUCAUGCUUGUAUUUACUAUCCUCUUUAGGAACAUAACUGUCUAGUGGACUAUCUUGUUAGAUAUAAUUGUUCUCUGACGAAAAGGGGGAAGCAGGCAGAAGAAACCAAUCAGGAAGGAGAAGAGAGGAAGUAUGUGAAAUGUUUUUCAGAAGUUAAAUCUUAGCUUUCCAUUGUGACCAUUGUUCAUAUACGGGAGGAGAAGGUGUCACACCCCAUGGGUAUAGUUCCCGGUACCUCACAGUAAGAUAUAAGAAACCCUAAAAAAAUCAUCUAAACAGAAUAAUUAAGAAAUUUAUCAAUAUAUAUAUAUAUAUAUAUAUAUAUAUAUAUAUAUAUA